rnacentral:rRNA from 1 species
AUGGCUAGGGUGCGAGACCCUCUCGUCGUCGGAAAGGUCAUCGGGGAGGUCAUUGACAACUUCAACCCCACGGUGAAUAUGUCGGUGACCUACAGCUCCGACAAGCAGGUGUCCAACGGCCAGGAGUUCUUGCCGACGGCGGUCGUGUCCAAGCCACGCAUUCAGGUCCCGGGUGGCGACAUGAGAUCUUUCUUCACUCUGGUCAUGACGGACCCAGAUGUGCCAGGGCCUAGUGAUCCAUACCUGAGGGAGCAUCUCCACUGGAUCGUCACUGAUAUUCCUGGCACCACUGAUGCUUCUUUCGGGAGCGAGGUGGUGAGCUAUGAGAGCCCGAAGCCCACCAUCGGCAUUCACAGGUUCGUCUUCGAGCUGUUCAAACAGAAGAAGCGGCAGGCUGUGAACCCUCGAGCUCCUUCCACCAGGGACUGCUUCAACACUCGCCGCUUCGCCGACGAGAACGACCUCGGUCUCCCGGUCGCCGCCGUCUACUUCAACGCGCAGCGGGAGACAGCCGCGCGCCGCCGCUGA